rnacentral:rRNA from 1 species
UACGUAGGGACCAAGCGUUGUUCGGAUUUACUGGGCGUAAAGGGCGCGUAGGCGGCUUGACAAGUCACUUGUGAAAUCUCCGGGCUUAACUCGGAACCGCCAAGUGAAACUGUCAUGCUAGAGUGCAGAAGGGGCAAUCGGAAUUCUUGGUGUAGCGGUGAAAUGCGUAGAUAUCAAGAGGAACACCUGAGGUGAAGGCGGGUUGCUGGGCUGACACUGACGCUGAGGCGCGAAAGCCAGGGGAGCAAACGGG